rnacentral:lncRNA from 1 species
AAUAAAUGAUGCUAGGAAAACUGGAUGACCAUAUACAGAAGAAUGAAGCUGGACCCUUCUCUUCCCUUAUGAAAAAUCAACUCAAAAUGAAUUAAAAACCUAAAGGGUCUCAUUCUGUCGCCCAAGCUGGAGUGGAAUGGCACAAUCCAGGCUCACUGCAAUGGUGACCUCCUGGGCUCUCACAGCCUUGAUGCUCCUCCGGCAUCCCCAGUCUCUGGAUCAGAUUUUGCUCUAAAAGCACCGGGGAGAAGAAAGGCUUGUGAAUGCAAAGAAGGGUGCACAAACCAGCUGAGGCGAAUCCUGACUCCAAUCCUUGAAAUGACGUCUGUCAUCGUGCACUUCUCAUGCCACCCAAGAAGUGUCCCCUGAUGUUUCAGGCAGCUGUCACAUCUGCCUCCUCUGAGCUCCUAGUCAUUUGAUAUUUAAAAUGUACUGCCU